rnacentral:rRNA from 1 species
UACGGAGGGGGCAAACGUUGUUCGGAAUUACUGGGCGUAAAGGGCGCGCAGGCGGCUGCUCAAGUCAGGCGUGAAAGGCCUGGGCUCAACCCGGGAAUUGCGCUUGAGACUGGGCUGGCUUGAGUGCGGGAGAGGAUGGUGGAAUUCCCAGUGUAGAGGUGAAAUUCGUAGAUAUUGGGAAGAACACCGGUGGCGAAGGCGGCCAUCUGGACCGCAACUGACGCUGAGGCGCGAAAGCGUGGGGAGCAAACGGG